AAAGAAAGCAAUAUCUUUGAGGAACACCAAUCAGAAUCUUGGAUCAGUUUAUCUUUUCAAUCAGAUAUGAUGAACAAGGAGAAAAUCUAGGUUGAUAUAGAGACUGAAAUCAGUGAUUUUGAGGCCAAAAACUUCACAAAAAAAUCAGCUCUUAACAGACAUCAAUGGGAGAUGGUGUCAUUGCGUUGCAAGCUUCUCCACGGAGAGUUGAUGUAGCAAUUGGCAUUCCAUCCAUUUCAAGAUCCUUCAGUUUGAGAAGAAGCAUGGAUUUAUCUAAAGUUCAUCGUUUGGCAAGGAGUAGAAGCUCAGGGACUUUUCGGAGGGAUGGCUCUGUGGGUAGCUUGAGUAUGAGAGUUCCUUCACAAGAUGUGUGUGAUUUGAUUCGUGAUUCAUUCACUUUGUCAAGAGAUUUGGUGGAGGAGGUGCUCAGAGAUCUUGAUGACUCUUGAGAUUGCUUGCACAAGCAAGAGACAGUGGUGAUAGAGUAGCUGAU